rnacentral:rRNA from 1 species
AGGUGCGAUCAUACCAGCACUAAUGCACCAGAUCCCAUCAGAACUCCGCAGUGAAGCAUUCUUGGGCGAGAGUAGUACUAGGAUGGGUGACCUCCUGGGAAGUCCUCGUGUUGCACUUC